UAACAGAGAGAACAAAUGUGUUCUUCAGAUGUCUGACCUCUAGAGUUCCGGCACUGGACUCCAAAUUUAGGUGCAAGAGUCAAGAUGACCUUCGUUGCUCAGCCUCUCUUUCGAAACAUUCUUUCUAUUUCUGUUUCUGCUCCGUGCACAGUUUAAUCCUCUGCUCUGCAAACACUUCUGGCUAGCACACAUGGGCAUGACCGAGGUUUUCCGCUUGCUCCAUUUCUGCCUUGUCCUGGGCUUCCUGAAAGGAUUUCCUCUGCAAGCAGACAAAAGCAUCAGCUGAGAAACAUCCACGCUGUUGUUUUGAAAGGGUAGAAAAGAAAGUGUUCAGGAUCUUUAAGCUUUAAAAUAAAAUUAGACUGUAGUGUGACAUUACACUGUGUAUGCAAACCCAAAUUAGCUAGUCUUUCAGUGUAAUAAUGGUACAUUUUACAUUUAUAGCCCCAUACUGCCCAAUUUUCAUCUCAUUAAAUUUUCACACUAGCCUAACCUGUACCAACUUAAGUUGGUGUUUUUUAAAUCAGUGCAGCAAGUUCAAGAUCACGCCUAUGUCACAGCAUAAACAAUAUUUACAAAUUAUUUGUAAAGGAUAUUUAUUUACACUAUGCUUUUGAACUUCUAUUAUUAAUCUUACAAACAUUGCACAAGUUUCUAAUACUGAAACAAA